rnacentral:rRNA from 1 species
UUCCGGUUGAUCCUGCCGGACCCCACUGCUAUCGGGAUGAGACUAAGACAUGCUAGUCGUGCACCUCCAAGCCACGGUGGAGGCGCGGCGCACAGCUCAGUAACACGUGGCUAACCUACCCUUGGGACGGAAAUAACCCCGGGAAACUGGGGCUAAUUUCCGAUAGGUGAAGAUUCCUGGAAUGGAUCUUCGCCGAAAAGGCGUCUAGACCAUGCUUCUAGGCGCUGCCCAAGGAUGGGGCCGCGGCCGAUCAGGUUGUUGGUGAGGUAACGGCUCACCAAGCCUAUAACCGGUACGGGCCGUGGGAGCGGUAGCCCGGAGAUGGGCACUGAGACAAGGGCCCAGGCCCUACGGGGCGCAGCAGUCGCGAAACCUCCGCAAUACGCGAAAGCGUGACGGGGUCAUCCCGAGUGCCGUCCGCUGAGGAUGGCUUUUCCCCAGUGUAGACAGCUGGGGGAAUAAGGAGAGGGCAAGUCGGGUGUCAGCCGCCGCGGUAAUACCCGCUCUCCGAGUGGUGGGGACGCUUAUUGGGCCUAAAGCAUCCGUAGCCGGCUGGACAAGUCCCCUGUUAAAUCCAGCGAUUUAAUCGUUGGACUGCGGGGGAUACUGUCCGGCUAGGGGGCGGGAGAGGCCGACGGUAUUUCCGGGGUAGGGGUGAAAUCCUAUAAUCCCGGGAGGACCACCAGUGGCGAAGCUGUCGGCUA